UGAACGCUGGCGGUAUGCCUAAUACAUGCAAGUCGUACGAAGGCUUUUAGCCUUAGUGGCGGACGGGUGAGUAACACGUGAGAAUCUGCCCUUAGGAGGAGGAUAACAGCUGGAAACGGUUGCUAAUACUCCAUAUGCCGAGAGGUGAAAGAAUUUAUUUGCCUAAGGAGGAGCUCGCGUCUGAUUAGCUAGUUGGUAGGGUAAUGGCCUACCAAGGCGACGAUCAGUAGCUGGUUUGAGAGGAUGAUCAGCCACACUGGGACUGAGACACGGGCCCAGACUCCUACGGGAGGCAGCAGUAGGGAAUUUUCCGCAAUGGGCGAAAGCCUGACGGAGCAAUACCGCGUGAGGGAUGACGGCCUGUGGGUUGUAAACCUCUUUUCUCAAGGAAGAAGUUCCUGACGGUACUUGAGGAAUAAGCAUCGGCUAACUCUGUGCCAGCAGCCGCGGUAAUCUGAUGGCGCGAGG
rnacentral:rRNA from 1 species